UCGGUAGUUCAGUUGGUUAGAACGCUAGCCUGUCACGCUAGAGGUCGACGGUUCGAACCCGUUC
rnacentral:tRNA from 1 species